rnacentral:tRNA from 1 species
GGGCGAGUGGCGGAAUUGGUAUACGCACGACACUUAAAAUGUCGCUCCGUUCGCGGAUUGAGGGUUCGAGUCCCUCCUUGCCCACAA